ACUUCUGGCUGGGUGUACCGACUGCAUUUUCCUGAUAACUUAAGCUGCUGGCUGGUGAGACAAUCAAAUUCUCCCCACUGAGUGACUUCAUCUACAAGACACAGGAGUAACCACCAGCGAGAGAAGUUCAGUUGUGAAAGGGAAGCAAAGGAAGAUGCUGGGUCCUUAGCGAGGGUGCACAGCCCCUUCCUCCAUUGUUAGCUCUCCAUUCCGUUUUGCCUGAUGCAAGGCACACUUUGUUCCAUAUAUUUAGAUUCCAUAGUUUUCUGAUAAUGGGGACUGAGUAUUUUAAAUACACUUCAGGGGUGGGCGGGGUGGCUCAUGCGUGUAAUCCCGGCACUUUGGGAGGCCAAGGUGGGCGAUUACCUGAGGUCAGGAGUUCGAGACCAGCUUGGCCAACAUGGUGAAACUCUGUCUCUACUAAAAAUACAAAAAUUGGCUGGAUGUGGUGGCUCACACCUGUAGUCCCACCUCCUCGGGAGGCUGAGGCAGGAGAAUUGCUUGAACCCAGGAGGCGGAGGCUGCAGUGAGCCGAGAUCGUGCCACUGCACUCCAGCCAGGGUGACAGAGUGAGACACUGUCUCAAUAAAUACAUAUUUAAAAAUUAAUAAAAAUAAAAAUGAACACACUUUUUAGGUGACUUCUGCAUAUUUAAGUUUCAAACUACUUUUAGAGCAAGCCCAGGAGAGUUUCCUGUUCUUUUGAACAUGAAGAAAGAACCAAGGGCUACAGAAAGCCUCCUUACAGAACCCGAGUCUCAUUAGCUUGUUCUCAUUCAACAAACGCUUAUCCAUCCCUCGUUGCAUGCAAGGCGCUCUGCCCAGCCAAGUAUGUGACUGCAGGCUGACGGGUGGUGAUCGGGAAAGCUGCCCGAAUGAGUAAGAUUCUGACGCUUGUUUGGAGUAGUUUAUCCUCUGUCUACCACCUCCAGAUCACCACAUCUCCAUGACUGGACCCAAAUGAAGUUAUUUCAUAUUUCCAAAAAUAGUUUCAGUUAUUAACACCUUCAGGAGAAUUCAGGGGCUCAUGGUAGAAAUGAAUGAAUCAUGUACAUAACUGAGAAGUAUUUAUACAGAAAGAGUUUUGGUUUUCUGGAAAGGGUAAUUUCAGAUAUUUAGAAGUAAGAGCCAUUACAAUGUUGGUUUUACAAGCCACUGGGCUUUAUAGCAACAUCAGAGUCCUGGUGGGUCAGGAGAAAAGGAGACAGCACUCGUCAGUAGCAGACAAGAGCAACUUAGCAUUCCAUAUAAUCUUGGAGAGAGCUGGUCUAAGUGCCUCAGGUAAGUGUUUUAACAACUGGAUCCUCUCUGGACUCCACACACCCGCUUCUUGAGCAGUGACGUAAGAUGGGGGAGAAGACAGAAUGAGCUGGCUGUCUCACUCCCUCUCUAGCUCCUGUCCCAGCUUGAGAUGAAACUCUAUGGAAGAGUAAAGAAGAUCUAUAGCCAGUUGCCUUGGAAUCUCUGCUGAGUACUUCAUCAAGCACCUGCUGUUUGAAGAGGGAAUAAGCCAGAAUAAAAUUCUCGCUCUUCAGAAAAAGUUUGCCAACUUCUGCUCUAAAGAAACAUCAAAGGCAAUAGGAAGAAUAUUGAUCAGGGAAUUAGGAGCUCUGAGUUCUAUCAAACAGCAGUGGGCCUAGAGUACGACGCUCAACUUUUUGAAACCAAGGUGUCUGCAUUACAGAAUUCCUAUUGGGGCUUGCUGGAGACCUCUACUCACCAUUCUUCCAUACCGCAGACAUCAGCAGCACUAUCUCUACUGUGUCACAGACUUCCAGGGACAGAAAGCUUGCAGCAGAGCCAGCACAUGCUGAAGAGCCCUUUCUUGCUCUGGACUCCACUGAAAACGGGCAACCUUCUAAGUAAAGCAAUAAAUGCAUUGAAAAAAUAUUCUGAAAUAUUAUGAUAUAUGUUGUUUCCAAAAUCCAAAGAAACCCCCAACAUUGCACCUCUUUCUUAGGGUUGGAGAUGCUGAGUGUAACACUGAGUCCUCUGUCUGGGUAGGGAAGUCUAGGUAUGCGGCUACUGAGGAUCCCAACACAUCUUCUUCCACCUGCACCACAUCUCAGUUAACCACAAGAGGAAGUGUUGGUAAUUGUGAUGCUACCACAUGCCUAGAGUUAUCACCAUGUGUUUACAACCAGAAAUCAGAUCCUCGUUGCUGUCACAUAGGGGAGUAAUCCAACUCCUAAAAUCUGUCCUGAGGGUGUGUUGUCUAAAGCCAUUCCUGGUUCCAUGGAAGCACAAAUAGUUAGAAAAUGCAAAGCCUGAAGCAAAGGCAUAAGUGGUACUACUUUAUUAGAUAGGACAAUUACGGAAGGAGCACUAAGGGACAGGUAAGAAAGGGAAAGCCAAUAUAAUGAUGAAUUAUUACGCUUAUACACAUCUCAGAG
rnacentral:lncRNA from 10 species